rnacentral:rRNA from 1 species
AGCUGACCAGCCAUGCCGCGUGCAGGAAGACGGCCUUCUGGGUUGUAAACUGCUUUUCUACGGGAAGAAAAUGCCCUUGCGAGGGAAAUUGCCGGUACCGUAGGAAUAAGCACCGGCUAACUCCGUGCCAGCAGCCGCGGUAAUACGGAGGGUGCAAGCGUUGUCCGGAUUUAUUGGGUUUAAAGGGUGCGUAGGCGGAUCUUUAAGUCAGUGGUGAAAGCCUGCAGCUUAACUGUAGAACUGCCAUUGAUACUGGAGGUCUUGAGUACACUAGAGGUAGGCGGAAUUUAUGGUGUAGCGGUGAAAUGCAUAGAUACCAUAAAGAACACCUAUAGCGUAGGCAGCUUACUGGAGUGUAACUGACGCUGAGGCACGAAAGCAUGGGGAGCGAACAGGAUUAGAUACCCUGGUAGUCCAUGCCGUAAACGAUGAUUACUCGAUGUUGGCGAUAUACUGUCAGCGUCCAAGCGAAAGCGUUAAGUAAUCCACCUGGGGAGUACGCUCGCAAGAGUGAAACUCAAAUG